rnacentral:lncRNA from 1 species
UUGCCUACUGAGUACCACAUUUUUGGUACUCAUACUACACUUCUGUAGCCUGCAAAUCUUAGUAUGGGUUCUCAUUAUUAUUGUGUGUGUUAUGUGGAGCAACUAUGGUUCAGAGACAUAACAUGAGCUCCUUGCACUGGAAGUAUUUCUAUUCUCCCUCUUAUGUACUAGACUAGUCUCUAUGAUGUAUUCAGAGAUGGGUUGUAUCAGUAUAUAUUAACUUAGUACUUUAUUA